rnacentral:tRNA from 1 species
GGGGUGCUAGCUCAUGUCGGCAGAGCGCCUGCCUUGCAAGCAGGAUGUGCGUGGGUUCGAGGCCCCGGCACCACA